GACGAACCGUGCGAACGUUAUUCGGAAUCACUGGGCUUAAAGCGCGUGUAGGCGGAUCGCCGCGUCGGCUGCUGAAAUCCCCCGGCUCAACCGGGGAACGGGCACCGAUACGGGCGGUCUCGAGGGGGGUAGGGGGGCCUGGAACUUCCGGUGGAGCGGUGAAAUGCGUUGAGAUCGGAAGGAACGCCCGUGGCGAAAGCGAGGCCCUGGACCCUUUCUGACGCUGAGACGCGAAAGCCAGGGGAGCGAACGGG
rnacentral:rRNA from 1 species